rnacentral:rRNA from 11 species
UAAGGUAGCGAAAUUCCUUGUCGGGUAAGUUCCGACCUGCACGAAUGGCGUAACGACUUCUCCGCUGUCUCAACCACAGGCCCGGUGAAAUUGCAGUACGAGUAAAGAUGCUCGUUUCGCGCGGCAGGACGAAAAGACCCCGGGACCUUCACUAUAGCUUGGUAUUGGUGUUCGGUUCGGUUUGUGUAGGAUAGGUGGGAGACUGUGAAGCGAUCACGCCAGUGUUCGUGGAGUCAACGUUGAAAUACCACUCUGGUCGAACUGGAUGUCUAACUUCGGACCGUGAUCCGGUUCAGGGACAGUGCCUGGUGGGUAGUUUAACUGGGGCGGUUGCCUCCCAAAAUGUAACGGAGGCGCCCAAAGGUUCCCUCAACCUGGUUGGCAAUCAGGUGUCGAGUGUAAGUGCACAAGGGAGCUUGACUGUGAGACUGACAAGUCGAGCAGGGACGAAAGUCGGGACUAGUGAUCCGGCAGUGGCUUGUGGAAGCGCUGUCGCUCAACGGAUAAAAGGUACCUCGGGGAUAACAGGCUGAUCUUGCCCAAGAGUCCAUAUCGACGGCAUGGUUUGGCACCUCGAUGUCGGCUCGUCGCAUCCUGGG